rnacentral:rRNA from 1 species
UACGGAGGGGGCUAGCGUUGUUCGGAAUUACUGGGCGUAAAGCGCACGUAGGCGGAUCAGCAAGUUAGGGGUGAAAUCCCGGGGCUCAACCUCGGAACUGCCUUUAAAACUGUUGGUCUUGAGUUCGAGAGAGGUGAGUGGAAUUCCGAGUGUAGAGGUGAAAUUCGUAGAUAUUCGGAGGAACACCAGUGGCGAAGGCGGCUCACUGGCUCGAUACUGACGCUGAGGUGCGAAAGCGUGGGGAGCAAACAGG